rnacentral:rRNA from 1 species
AUUGAACGCUGGCGGCAUGCUUUACACAUGCAAGUCGAACGGUAACAGGGAGCUUGCUCCGCUGACGAGUGGCGAACGGGUGAGUAAUGCGUCGGAACGUGCCGAGUAGUGGGGGAUAACGCAUCGAAAGGUGUGCUAAUACCGCAUACGUACUGAGGUAGAAAGUGGGGGACCUUCGGGCCUCCCGCUAUUCGCAGGGCGCACGGCUGAUUCGCUAGUUGGUGAGGUAAAGGCUCAACAAGGCGACGAUCAGUAGCGGGUCUGAGAGGAUGAUCCGCCACACUGGGACUGAGACACGGCCCAGACUCCUACGGGAGGCAGCAGUGGGGAAUUUUGGACAAGGGGCGCAAGCCUGAUCCAGCCAUGCCGCGUGUCUGAAGAAGGCCUUCGGGUUGUAAAGGACUUUUGUCCGGGAGCAAAUGCCUGGUGUUAAUAGCACUGGGAGCUGAGAGUACCGGAAGAAUAAGCACCGGCUAACUACGUGCCAGCAGCCGCCGUAAGAC